UCCCUGGUGGCUCAGAUGGUAAAGAAUCCACCUGCAAUGUGGGAGACCUGGGUUCAAUUCCUGGGUUGGGAA
rnacentral:tRNA from 1 species